rnacentral:rRNA from 1 species
GAUGAACGCUAGCUGCAGGCUUAACACAUGCAAGUCGAGGGGAAACGACAUCGAAAGCUUGCUUUUGAUGGGCGUCGACCGGCGCACGGGUGAGUAACGCGUAUCCAACCUGCCCACCACUUGGGGAUAACCUUGCGAAAGUAAGACUAAUACCCAAUGACGUCUCUAGAAGACAUCUGAAAGAGAUUAAAGAUUUAUCGGUGAUGGAUGGGGAUGCGUCUGAUUAGCUUGUUGGCGGGGUAACGGCCCACCAAGGCGACGAUCAGUAGGGGUUCUGAGAGGAAGGUCCACCACAUUGGAACUGAGACACGGUCCAAACUCCUACGGGAGGCAGCAGUGAGGAAUAUUGGUCAAUGGGCGAGAGCUUGAACCAGCCAAGUAGCGUGCAGGAUGACGGCCCUAUGGGUUGUAAACUGCUUUUAUAAGGGAAUAAAGUGUGUCUCGUGAGGCUUUUUGCAUGUACCUUAUGAAUAAGGACCGGCUAAUUCCGUGCCAGCCGCCGCAGUAA